rnacentral:rRNA from 1 species
CAAUAAGCGGAGGAAAAGAAACCAACAGGGAUUGCCUCAGUAACGGCGAGUGAAGCGGCAACAGCUCAAAUUUGAAAUCUGGCUCUCUCAGGGUCCGAGUUGUAAUUUGUAGAAGAUGCUUUGGGUGUAGCUCCGGUCUAAGUUCCUUGGAACAGGACGUCAUAGAGGGUGAGAAUCCCGUACGUGACUGGGUGCUUUCGCUCGUGUAAAGCUCUUUCGACGAGUCGAGUUGUUUGGGAAUGCAGCUCAAAAUGGGUGGUAAAUUUCAUCUAAAGCUAAAUAUUGGCCAGAGACCGAUAGCGCACAAGUAGAGUGAUCGAAAGAUGAAAAGCACUUUGGAAAGAGAGUUAAACAGUACGUGAAAUUGUUGAAAGGGAAGCGCUUGCAACCAGACUUGCGGGCGGUUGAUCAUCCGAGCUUUUGCCCGGUGCACUCGAUCGUUCACAGGCCAGCAUCGGUUUUGGUGGGCGGAUAAAGGCCUUGGGAAUGUAGCUUCUUUCGGGGAGUGUUAUAGCCCUCGGUGCAAUGCGCCCUACCGGGACCGAGGACCGCGCUUCGGCUAGGAUGCUGGCGUAAUGGUUGUAAGCGACCCGUCUUGAAACACGGACCAAGGAGUCUAACAUCUAUGCGAGUGUUUGGGUGCCAAACCCAUACGCGUAAUGAAAGUGAACGGAGGUGAGAACCCUUAAGGGUGCAUCAUCGACCGAUCCUGAUGUCUUCGGAUGGAUUUGAGUAAGAGCAUAGCUGUUGGGACCCGAAAGAUGGUGAACUAUGCCUGAAUAGGGUGAAGCCAGAGGAAACUCUGGUGGAGGCUCGCAGCGGUUCUGACGUGCAAAUCGAUCGUCAAAUUUGGGUAUAGGGGCGAAAGACUAAUCGAACCAUCUAGUAGCUGG